ensembl:lncRNA
AAGAAAGCCAGCUGCCUAUAGCUGAAGCUAAUUCAUCAUGACAUGGUCAAUGAGGAUCACACUGCUAUGGCCUGCAGGGAAACUUCCAUUAGUUUGCUGUCCACUGCACAACGUGUCUUAUUCAGGAGGAAGGACUGACUGACGAGAAUCAUUUACCAGCUUCCAUCAUGAAGACGCUAGUGUGUGCUCUUAUUGUGGUGCUUCUCUGCAGUGCCUCAGUGCACUCGCUGACAUGCUACACCUGUGUGGAUGGGGACUGCAAGACCCCAACAGAAUGUCCUGCCUCAAGCAAUUUCUGCAAAACAGUUUCAACAGCCACUGUGUUCAGCCGGACAUGUGAGGAGUUCUGUGUUCCGGGAGUGAACAUCUACUGCUGCACUUCUGAUCUGUGUGACUGAUCUCUCAACGUCACCAGUCCUGCUGAUCGACUGUUCUUGAGUCAGGCACUUAUGUUCAUUGCAAUAGCGUAGCAGGAAAUAUUGGGUUACUCUAGGUGUAUAAUUUUUCUAAUGACUUUCUACCAUCUGACUCAACAUGGUUUGCUUUACAUAGCACUACUUGAAGGAAUGUCUAAAGUGUAGUUUCUGUCGCAGCUCUACAUGAUUUAUGAAUUGAAUAAAAUCUACUCAGU